UACAGAGGGUGCAAGCGUUGUUCGGAAUUAUUGGGCGUAAAGCGCGUGUAGGCGGUGAUGCACGUCGGGUGUGAAAGCCCUCAGCUCAACUGAGGAAGUGCGGCCGAAACUGCAUCGCUGGAGUGCCGGAGAGGAAGGCGGAAUUCCCGGUGUAGAGGUGAAAUUCGUAGAUAUCGGGAGGAACACCAGUGGCGAAGGCGGCCUUCUGGACGGACACUGACGCUGAGACGCGAAAGCGUGGGGAGCAAACAGG
rnacentral:rRNA from 1 species